rnacentral:rRNA from 1 species
GCGCAGCAGUCGCGAAAACUCUGCAAUACGCGAAAGCGUGACAGGGCUACCCCGAGUGUCGUCCGCUGAGGACGACUUUUCCACGCUGUAAGGAGGCGUGGGAAUAAGGAGAGGGCAAGUCUGGUGUCAGCCGCCGCGGUAAUACCAGCUCUUCGAGUGGUAGGGAUGUUUAUUGGGCCUGAAGCAUCCGUAGCUGGCUGUGCAAGUCCUCCGUUAAAUCCAGCGAUUUAAUCGUUGGAUUGCGGGGGAUACUGUUCGGCUAGGGGAUGGGAGAAGCCGACGGUAUUCCCGGGGUAGGGGUGAAAUCCUAUUAUCCCGGGAGGACCACCAGUGGCGAAGGCGGUUGGCUAGAACGCGCCCGACGGUGAGGGAUGAAAGCUGGGGGAGCGAACCGGAUUAGAUACCCGGGUAGUCC